AGCAGCCGCCGCCCAGCACAGGCUGUCGGCCUCUAGCUCUUGGUUUAGGGAGUGUGCCAGGCCCAAGGCUAAUUUUAUGAGCCUGUGCAGGGAGCAAGAGGCUGUACGACUGCCUUUCCCAGCAGUCCACCCCAUGAAGCCUGCUCAGCCACUGACAGCAGAUAAGGCACAUCACAUCCGGGAGGACCAUCGUUUGCCCCAACGGUGGAGGUGGAGCUGGGUCCCUGAGCCCCCGAGCCCCUGAGCAAUGCACACGAAUGCAUUCCCAGAACCUUCCGUCAUUCUGAGACAUUUACCAGAGUCUCCAGGAGAACCAGACCCCAGACGAUGAUCAGGCCUCUCUGGGGGACGGUCCUCAACCAGAAACCUCCAGAGCCUGGCUAAGGCCAACCAAAAAGAUUAAAAAAAUGAGUGAUAACCAUCCCACCUGAGCACAGGCUUCUCCUUCCCCUGCAUUGUGGAUAGGUCCGCAGCGAGAGGCGCCGGCAGGGCACACAAGCCCCCGUCCUGCCAGCAGGUAACUGAAGGCCACUCGGGUGUCCAUCACUAGCUUGGCUAGGGAGUUCCGUGCUGCUUUUGGUCUAGAGGGAAGUCCAAGUCGUUGUGUACCAGCCAAGCCAUUAAAAUGGGAAAGUGAGACAAAAGGAACUUUAUUCCGGGAUGACAAAUCCGGCAUUGUUGGAGCUCGCCUCCUCUCCCCACGGCUGGGCUGGCUCGUGUGAGUGUUGUGUCGUCGUGCCAGGCGCAGCAGAGGCUCCUGUAGGAGGGAAGAGAAGACAGGUUCAAGUUCCCACCUCGCUCCCCCACCGUGGGCCUCCCGCGGCCCGAGAUGCUCUUGUUACUGCCUCCUUGGGACCCACUGUCCAUUGCUUAACCCAAAUCUUCUGGCCCCAUCACCCAACCUGGGGAGGGAAGCCACAGUCCGCACGAACUUGAUCUUCUAACGUCAGCGGCUCGAGUCGCAGGUCCCAGAGCGACCGGAGAAGCCUGGGGCCCUGAGGCUCUUUUGCCCCUUCCCCCAUUUCCCUGGUGCCCCCCCCAGAGUGAGGCACCUGAGGGUACUGUUGCCUCCACGUUUGGACCAGGAGGCCCCACGGUGACACCACUGUGGCCCCGGCGACACGUCACAGCACGGGGGUGUGUCCCAGUGGGAGAGAAGAAUUGUUGCGCAUCCUGAGGCCGGGAUUCUGCUGGGGCAGCCUCCUCAGGUGCCUGCCUGGCCUUCUCCUCCGAGUAUCGGCCACCACGGGUCAGACCUGCUGUCAAAUGUUCAGUGACUUUCCUUUUUUCUUUUUUUAAGGAUUUAUUUAGUUGAGAGAGGGAGAGAUCGAGAGAGGGACAGAAUCGCAAGCAGACUCCCCAGUGAGCAUGGAGCCCGACGCAAGGCUGGAUCUCAAGACCCUGAGAUCACGACCUGAGCUGAAAUCAAGAGUCAGCCGCUGAACCAACUGAGCCACCCAGGCGCCCCCUGCUCAAUGACUUUUCUCAAGCAGAGAUGCCGUCUGACAAGGAAACUGAAGCAAAGUGGAGGCACCUGCCAAGGAUUGAAAUCCAAGCAUCUUUAACUCCAAAGACCAAGUGUUCAUCUGCCACACCUCAGCAUCUUCCAAGAGUUCCCAAACUAGGAGCUUUGAGAUGAGAACAAGCCAACUGGACCCAGUGUGAGCAGUGUGAAGCAGGCUGGGAAGAGACUGCCUCCACCCAAGAGAUUUACAGAAACACAGUCAGGGGUUUUCGCAUUUUUCAUUCUCAUCUCUAAGGCCUCGAGGGGCUCACGUGGCGGGACCCUGGACGAGGGUAUUCUCUACUAGUAGUAGUCUCUGCUCUCCACCUUCUUCCGACCUGCCUUUGGUCUCAGAAGCCAACUUCCAGAGACUACAGUCAGGGCACCCUCACCUCCAGCUUUGAUUGGGUUUGGCCAAUGGAGGACUACAAGAGGAAGAGGUAGGGGUGAGACUCCUGGCACCUCCUCUCCAUUUCCCUGUGUUCCUGGCAGUGGCAGCCUUUUGCAGAUACAGAUCUGGUUGGGCGGCCCCUCCUCCUGGACUCCAGCUCCCAGGGGUUUCCAUCACAAAGUUCCUUUUACCUUAUCUCUCCAGGGGACGGGCGUUAAAAAGACUUCUUGCCAUUGUCAGCCAGUGUCAGCCACUGGAGACCUCACACCUCUUAUCAGUUCCCUUGACCCUGCAAACACCUCUGCAGACUGUCCUUCCAUGACCAAACCCUCUGAAUGGGCUCUUUCCUGUCAUACCUAUCUGACGCAGACUCUUACUGGUACCUUUCAGAAUUGGUGUUCUAACCAACCCUGGCUCGGGACAGGUUCCCCUAUAAGACCAAGAGGCAGGUUUCGAAGGGACAAAGCAAAGAUCUCUUUGCUGCCAGGCACUUUGUCUUCCAGCUGCACACACCCUCUCUCAUCCUGGGUGCAAAUGAGUGAGUGGAAAGUCAUCUAAUGGUCGGCUACCGGGUGACAUGUUUGACCAAACACAAUCCUGUUGCUCACCAUAAUUAUCUGUAUUUGUGUGUAAGCUGCAUUCCUCUGGCCAUCUGUCUUAUUUUUGGUUGACAGACUUCCAGAUUCCCACUCCUUUAUUCAUGCAUAAUACACAAAUGAUUCACAAAUGGGAAAGUCAGCAGGGCUUCUUCUACCUCAGUCUCCUCGUCUGUAUAAACGGGAUAAUAAUACUGUCAACCUCACAGAGCUGGUGUGAGAAUUAAAUGAGUAACAUCUGUAAGUGUUUAGAACAGCAGGUGUAAAGUAUUGUCUAGUACUAUUAUUAUACUCUCUCAUCUGGUUCCUCUUGGCUCACUUUCCUGAGCUUGUCUGUGGGAAGGGAAGCAGGGGACCUGGGUAGGAAUUCCCAAGUCCCCCCACUUUCAAUGUUUUCCUCAGCUUUCCCCUCCCUCUCCCCCUCCAUACCCCAUUGCAGAGUAGAUCUCCUUCUUUACCAUCUUUUCUAUCUCAAGAAGCUUCUGGAAGGGCAACCAGAGCAAGCUGUGGUCCUUAUGUGUUCUGCUUUCAGUUCUAGACUGGGGGUUUUCAUAUGGUGGCCUGGAGAGCCCUAGGGCUCCCAAAAAGCACCCCCCACACACACACACACCAGACCACAGAAAGUGGGUAUCACUCUAGGUCACAUGCUUUAGCUUGCUUUUAUCUGUUUAAGCUUUCUUUCAAGAUUUUGUUUGAACAGAGGCUUCCAGGACUUUAAAAAGUUGGAAAUCCCUGUUCUGAGAUAUUGAAGCCCUAGAUCUAGCAACUCUCAGUCUUAAUUUCUUGGACUCCAGUGCCAAGGAACUUUCUUUACUUCAUUCAAAUAAUUUGUAUUCUUUUCUAUUUCUGAUGCUCUGUAACAGAUAUGUGAACAAGCACAUCUUUGUGUAUUUGUCUGAGAUGUCUUUCCCAGGUGCUGAGCAUGUUCAGCAAAUAUUGUCUCCUUAAUUCGCAGGCCUCUAGGGAAGAUAACUACAGCACUGUUUAACAAUAGAAACCUUUGAAGGCACUUGAUGUUUACUGGCACCCUACUCAGCCACUGGAAUACUUCCAACCCAGGAAUCAAAAGACUACUAGGACUCUAUCCUGAUAAAACUGGGCCAAGCCUGCUCCUAAUGGCUGCUAGCAAUAAGGGAAGUAGGGUAGCAGAAGCUGUAUAGGACUGGCAGGGAAUACGUGAAAGGAGCAAAAGCCCUAACCUCCAGAUCUUUGCCUGGAAUGCCUUUAUCCCAGAUUGCCACAAGGCUCCCUCUCAUUUGGCUCAACUAUUACCUCAUUAGAACUGCCUUAAGACUAGGGGCAUGAGAAGCUCCCACCUUGGGCUCUGAGCUCUCUGGUCGUCUUCUAACCAUAAUCUUUUCCACUGAGCAAGAGCCCAUGGGCCAAGGGCCCACUCAAUUUCCUGCUCCUCAUCCCUUAUUAGAUCAUACUGUGGGUAUCCAAGACCCUAGAAUUCUCUGUCCCUAUAGCACUAGGCCAGCUUCUAGAGAUUUCAUUGGCCUUUCCAUCUUCUAGAGGAGCCAAGAAACAGCUAUUUGCAGGAGGUGUGAAUGAAGCUCAAAUGUGCAGACUCAGACAUUGUAGGUGUGGGCAGAUGGCCCCUUGAAGUAUGGGAAAGAGCUGGAGUGCAAAGAAUAGGAAGAAGGCCAGGAACCAGUUACCCCUUAAACCACCCCAUUCCGGUGUACAUCUUGGGGGAGCCCAGGAAUUCUAAAUUUAAAUUUGGCCUUCCAGAUUAUGAUGAAGGUAUACUGUCACAAUGAAAGGAUAGGAAUUUUACAUACCAGUUUAACUUAGUUUGUAAUUUUUAAGUGUGUAGACAUACGUGGGCCUCCAUUUGUACUGUUGACCAAAGCUCUGUAAAUAUUAGGGGUAGACUCAUCCCUGACCACACUGUGUAAAAUAAAAUAGCACUUCUCCGUCACUCUAUUAAUAGUUACUCUAUUGUAUAGUUCUUCGUAGCAUUUGUCACCAUCAAAUCUACAUUUAUUUGUAUAUCAUCUCUCUAUCCCUAACCCCACUAGAAUGUAAGUCAGUGACUGUAGAGUCUUGGUUUGGUUUCCUGUCUGAUCCCCCCCCCCCUUUUUAAAGACUUUAUUUGACAG